rnacentral:piRNA from 1 species
UAAAAUGCAUGCUUCCUGUGA